GAUGAACGCUGGCGGCGUGCCUAAUACAUGCAAGUCGAGCGAAUGGAUUAAGAGCUUGCUCUUAUGAAGUUAGCGGCGGACGGGUGAGCAACACGUGGGUAACCUGCCCAUAAGACUGGGAUAACUCCGGGAAACCGGGGCUAAUACCGGAUCACAUUUUGAACCGCAUGGUUCGAAAUUGAAAGGCGGCUUCGGCUGUCACUUAUGGAUGGACCCGCGUCGCAUUAGCUAGUUGGUGAGGGAACGGCUCACCAAGGCAACGAUGCGUAGCCGACCUGAGAGGGUGAUCGGCCACACUGGGACUGAGACACGGCCCAGACUCCUACGGGAGGCAGCAGUAGGGAAUCUUCCGCAAUGGACGAAAGUCUGACGGAGCAACGCCGCGUGAGUGAUGAAGGCUUUCGGGUCGUAAAACUCUGUUGUUAGGGAAGAACAAGUGCUAGUUGAAUAAGCUGGCACCUUGACGGUACCUAACCAGAAAGCCACGGCUAACUACGUGCCAGCAGCCGCGGUAA
rnacentral:rRNA from 1 species